AGAGUUUGAUCCUGGCUCAGAUUGAACGCUGGCGGCAUGCCUUACACAUGCAAGUCGAACUGCAGCAUGAUCUAGCUUGCUAGAUUGAUGGCGAGUGGCGAACGGGUGAGUAAUACAUCGGAACGUGCCCUGUAGUGGGGGAUAACUAGUCGAAAGAUUAGCUAAUACCGCAUACGACCUGAGGGUGAAAGUGGGGGACCGCAAGGCCUCAUGCUAUAGGAGCGGCCGAUGUCUGAUUAGCUAGUUGGUGGGGUAAAGGCCCACCAAGGCGACGAUCAGUAGCUGGUCUGAGAGGACGAUCAGCCGCACUGGGACUGAGACACGGCCCAGACUCCUACGGGAGGCAGCAGUGGGGAAUUUUGGACAAUGGGCGAAAGCCUGAUCCAGCAAUGCCGCGUGUGUGAAGAAGGCCUUCGGGUUGUAAAGCACUUUUGUCCGGAAAGAAAUGGCUCUGGUUAAUACCUGGGGUCGAUGACGGUACCGGAAGAAUAAGGACCGGCUAACUACGUGCCAGCAGCCGCGGUAAUACGUAG
rnacentral:rRNA from 1 species